GGUGAAGGAGACAAAGAGGGAAAUGAGUGUGUAAGAUAGAUAGCUUUCUUUUGUUGUGAACCUCACCAUUCUUAAAGUUGCUUCUUAUGGCUAUGCUUCUCUUACCAGUCCCAUCUCUUUCUAUCAAACACUUCCCAUGUGUGAUCUCAUCUUCCUCCUUUGGAUAUUAUCCUCUCCAAUAGUCCAAUUGCAAAACAAUUAAGUAAAUAAGGAACAGUCAUUCAUUUGUCAAUGCCCCCCAAAACGAAAAUAUUUUUAUGGGAAUCACGAAAUGUUAUAAUUGGGGCCAUUUAGCCCAAUAAGUUUAUCGUAUUUGGUCACAAUGGGCUCAUAUGUUCGGCCCCACAAAUGACAACUCUUAGAACUCAACAAUGCCCUACUUUUUUGAGACAAUACAGUGUGGUAGGCCUACAAAGAUAGUCCCCCAUUUCUCACCAUAUGACAACU